CUUGGCAAGUUUCUAGCCACAAUCUGUAUAACUCCUCACGUAAAAGAGAGCUUCAGCUGAUGGGUUCCUCAUGUUAAUUCCAUUUUCUUCUUCCUUUAACCAAUUUCGUCCUCCAUUAGAGGGGUUUUUGACGCACUAUUUAGAGAGACUUGUAGUGAGAGUUUGAUGUUGAGGUGUGAAUGAAAAAUGACCUAGAGGGAAUGAGGUUUCCAUUGAUAUAGUAUAUGUGGUCAUUCCUUAAUCCAUGGGUUUCAGAAAGUGCCUUGAAAAGAGGAGGAUCUUAGUUGUGCUUCAAUGGAGAGUUCUUCAUCUUCAUCAUCUUGUUGGUGGGUUCGAGCUAUCCUUGGAAUAGUUUGGAGGUGUUUGUAUCUAGGGUUUGAACUCCCUUGUGGUUAUGGACAAGAGGUCGUAGAGGGCAUUCCUCCACAGCCAGGGACGGAUGCUGGGUUUUAUUUUGUUGUAUAUCUUUGUGUAAACAGAGAAUGUAUAUUUUGAAACCAACAUGUAUAUUUAUAAAUAUUCUUCCAAACAUAUUUUGUUUAAUUAUUGUAAUUAAAGGAUUAUGGGGUUUUACGUAUGAAGCCUACUUUUAUAUUUUCAGAUAAUGGUGGACAGGGAAAUGGAUUUUGUGUGCGUGCGUUGGGACAGGGUACUUUAUUUAGCAUGACUUUUGAAAUCAGGGGAUUUUUUUUAUUAUCAGCCUUGAGUAUUAAAGUUUUAUCUAAAAUUUUUGGACAGUGUUCCAGGGCUUGGUCAGACGUUUCUGAAUAUGAGUAUUUCUUUGUUCUGUUUUAUGUUCACAACCUGGAUUACGAUCUAGGGUCGUGACAAGAGUGGUAUCAGAGCAUGGUUCGUCUAACCUAGGGACGACGUGUAGUGGUCUUUCUACGAUUAAGGGUUUUUUGGUUUGUAUUGUCUCACAUGCUUACGUGCUUAUGUGUUUUUUUGUUUUGCAAGCAUGUCUACUUGCUUACGUGGCUAUGUGUUUAUUUGGUUUGGGCUUUGCAAGCAUGCUUAUGUGCUUACGUAAUAAUUGUUUAAUUGUUUAAAGAUGAAGCAUGCUAUGUGUUUAACGACUUGUAUCUAUGUGAGUCAGUUUGGGACUGUGGAUAGUGUCAUUGUUAUUGACUUGUAUUCCGCUAUAGUAUGUCAUCUCGUAAGAAAGGUCAGGCACUUAGAGGUCUGGGAAAUAAGUGGUAGGACUGACGCUAGUAGCGUUGUUGUUUGUGGAUGGCUUAUCAGCAUAAGUAUGUGUGGGUAUCAUGGCAUUUUGCAUCGUUGUCUGAUGUCCUCAUUGGACACGACUUAGCUGGUAUUGUGAGGUUCUACCAAUGAGGAUAUAGUUUUGAUGUGCACUGAUUAGUGUUUAGCAUAUGUGGGUGUUUCAUGCAGGUAAUAACGGAACGUUCAGAUGUGAUUAGUGGUAAAGAGUCCAGAGCUGGAUCUUGAUGUUAGAAAAGUUUUGAUAGCAGUUGAUAUUAGAAUUGAGUCUUAGUGACUUGGGAUUUAUUAAAAGUGGGUCAGUGACAAUGUAAUUGUUGUUUGGGUAUGGGAUGGCCAAAUGGACCGGCCGGACAUUGUGGACCAUACUCAGCUUUAAACGUAAUAUCAAGACACUGACAAGGAUGACGAUUGGUGUGUCAUAGGAGACACUUACGGUUUUAGGAGACGUCAUAGUUGUCUCAGGAAAAUGGUAUGCUAUGGGACUGUAUUAGGCACUGGUGAUGCCACAUUACAUAUAAGGACAUUGUGGGCGGGCGAUAGUUGCCAACUAUGCUACCAUACUGACGAGUAUGUGUGGGCGGGCUCUAGACGCCGACGAGGCUACCGUUCUUAUGAGUAUAUGUUGACAGACACUAGUCGCUAGUUAGACUAAUAGAUCAUGGUAAGGUGUAUUCUUUAAUGAUUAUGAUGGUUGAGGAUUGACAGUAUUUCAUUGGUGUUAUACUGGAUUGGUGGAUUGCCACAUUGGUAUUCGUGACAGGGAUUGUGUUAUGGAUUUCUUAAUUUUAUAAAAUGCCAUGAUUAUGAAUUCCUUGGUUGGAAUAUGGAUAAGGAUGGCGACGAUAAUAGAGUAAUAUGGUGAUAUUUUGGGUUAUCAUUUAAUUGACUUGCAUUUCGGUUGAAUACCGGUUGUUAAUAAGGAUUGAUUGAUGCUAGAGAUUGAUUUUACCUUAACUGGUGAUAAGAGUAGACGUCAGGAAUGAUGUUAUGAGUAUCUUGAAAGUUAUGAUUUGUGUUAGCUCGGUUUUGUGGGAUUUAAAUCCAUUAUUGCUUGAGGGCACAGACUUGUCAGGCUUUAGAUUCGCAUAUUAGAGUCAGUUGAUAGUAGAUGCAUUUUAUCAAGAGAGUUUGUGUCCACUUUUCCUCGUUAGUAUAUGGAGAGUUGGAGGUGAUUUUAUAGGUUGUUGUAUUGUUGUAUGAUGUGAAUCCAUAGGCUUUGCAGAUUGUGUGGUGAUGCUGGUUAAAGUUCUUGGUGAGUUCUGUGAGUGUGAUAGGCACAUCAUCUUUUCUUUUUAAGGGGGGUAGAUUUCGAGGAUGAAAUCUUUUUAAGAAGGGUAGACUGUGAUGUCUAUCACUUUUUCAUUUUUUUCCUGGGCAUUUCUCGUUUUGGCAUAAGUGAUUAUUUCAUUACCUCGGGUUACGUGUGUUUGGGAUUGCAUGUCACGAAGGUUUUAUAGUGAUUUAGAGUGUUUCAUGGAGUUUGGAAAGUAUGGAUAUGCUAGUUGAACCGUUUGGACAGUUUAUGAAUUUUCGGGCCGAGUGACUCGUGUGGGUCCCACGCCGGAAUUUUUUGGAUUUUGAAUUAUUUUCCUAAUUGAAAAAUAAUUAUUUUGGAUGUCAUUUAAAAAAUUCAUGAGGGUGGAUUGGUCAUUUGAUUAUGUGCUAGCAAGGUUGUAGUUUAAUGAAGAGGUGGGGGCAUUUUGGUUAUUUCCUUGGUCCACCUUUUGACCCUUUAUGAGUUUGACUCUUAAGCAUGCACUUGGCAAGUUUCUAGCCACAAUCGGUAUGACUCAUCACGUAGAAGAGAGCUUCAGCUGAUGGGUUCCUCAUGUUAAUUCCAUUUUCUUCUUCCUUUAACCAAUUUCGUCCUCCAUUAGAGGGGUUUUUGAAGCACCAUUUAGAGAGACUUGUAGUGAGAGUUUGAUGUUGAGGUGUGAAUGAAAAAUGACCUAGAGGGAAUGAGGUUUCCAUUGAUAUAGUAUAUGUGGUCAUUCUUUAAUCCAUAGGUUUCAGAAAGUGCCUUGAAAAAAGGAGGAUCUUAGUUGUGCUUCAAUGGAGAGUUCUUCAUCUUCAUCAUCUUGUUGGUGGGUUGGAUCUAUCCUUGGAAUAGCUUGGAGGUCUUUGUUCCUAGGGUUUGAACUCCCUUGAGGUUGGAUUGUCUAAGCCUCAAUUCCUUUGCCUUUAGUUAUGGACAAGAGGUCGUGGAGGGCAUUCCUCCACAGCUAUGGACGGAUGUUGGGUUUUAUUUUGUUGUAUAUCUUUGUGUAAAUAGAGAAUGUAUAUUUUGAAACCAACAUGUAUAUUUAUAAAUAUUCUUCCAAACAGAUUUUGUUUAAUUAUUGUAAUUAAAGUAUUAUGGGGUUUUACGUAUGAA